UACGGAGGGUGCAAGCGUUAAUCGGAAUUACUGGGCGUAAAGGGUGCGUAGGUGGUUUGAUAAGUUAUCUGUGAAAGCCCUGGGCUUAACCUGGGAAGGCCAGAUAAGACUGUUAGACUAGAGUAUGGGAGAGGGUAGUGGAAUUUCCGGUGUAGCGGUGAAAUGCGUAGAGAUCGGAAGGAACACCAGUGGCGAAGGCGGCUACCUGGCCCAAUACUGACACUGAGGCAUGAAAGCGUGGGGAGCAAACAGG
rnacentral:rRNA from 1 species